rnacentral:rRNA from 1 species
CAGCCGCCACGGUAAUACGUAGGGUGCAAGCGUUAAUCGGAAUUACUGGGCGUAAAGCGUGCGCAGGCGGUUCGUUAAGACAGAUGUGAAAUCCCCGGGCUUAACCUGGGAACCGCAUUUGUGACUGGCGGGCUAGAGUAUGGCAGAGGGGGGUAGAAUUCCACGUGUAGCAGUGAAAUGCGUAGAGAUGUGGAGGAAUACCGAUGGCGAAGGCAGCCCCCUGGGCCAAUACUGACGCUCAUGCACGAAAGCGUGGGGAGCAAACAGGAUUAGAUACCCGAGUAGUCCCUGUCUCUUAUAC